rnacentral:lncRNA from 1 species
GAAGAUGUCUCCGUGGAAUAGAGGUUCCUAGACUCAUGAACCUUAGGGAGGAAGAAACAAAUGGCUCUCUCCUUGGGGAACUUUCUCACUCUUCUCCGGCACCGCUCCUGCCUUUCCAGAGAAUGGGGUCUGCUUGUUUGCAAAUCCAGAGUACCAAGUGGGUCAACCGAUGGAUCUUUGUGGAACUCCUCUGAUAAGCCUACAGUGGUUCAAGCACCGUACAGGCAGACUGAAGACAGAAAGAAGUGUGAGUCACAGAGUCUCUUCCAAAUUUCAGACCUGUGGCAGCUUCCCAGAGGCUGGAGUAGACCAGAAGAGAAUGACUAAGGCAUGAUGUUCUGGGAGUUACAGUCCUGGCACGUAAUUGUGAAUAUGGCACAAAAUGAGGCGGUGGGUGUCCAGACUGCACCUAACAAUGGGAGCCUGAGAGCAAAUGGCUGGAAGGUCAGGAAGGCAGGAGACUGUCAGUAGCAAGAGCAGGUGGGUGCACAUUAUGUAGCCUCGAGCACCAGGCUGGGAUGAGAGAUGGGACUCCACCCCCUGUGGAGGGGCAAAGUAGAAGCCAAGCCUGGACUCAAAUCACCAAGAUUGGGGCCCAGAAACAAAGGAAGAAAGCUGAAAGUCAGUACCCAAAACAUGGGUAAAGCAGGGACCCUGGGCUCAACCUAGCAGGCAGGAACUCAGAGGGGCUGACGUCCAGGGCAGACCAGCAGCAGACCAUGUUGGGUCAUGGCCUAGGGGUUAGAGUGGCUUAAUAUGUUUUGCUGAAAGGACAGAUGGAUUUCUGUGCCAGGUUUUAAAGAGGAAGCCAGGUGUGGAGUCUGGGAGCCACGCUGGAUCUGACACUCAGGCAGUUUGUCAUCUAAUUGGAAGAACCAAAGUAUGAAUACAUAACAAAUGAGUCACCUGAGCUGUUGUUAACUGAACAUGGGGCAAUAUUUCAAGAGUACCUGAAAGCCCUAUAUUAUGCAUUGUCUGGCUUGGGCCAAGGAGGGCAUGUGACUCUAGGAUACAAAAGAGUCCUCUGCGUUGGAGUGGUUUCUGAAGGUUUCAUGGAAGGGCAAAGGGUUAAGCUGACCCUUGAAGAGUGGAU